AUUGAACGCUGGCGGCAGGCUUAACACAUGCAAGUCGAGCGAGCGGCGGACGGGUGAGUAAUGUCUGGGAAACUGCCUGAUGGAGGGGGAUAACUACUGGAAACGGUCGCUAAUACCGCAUACCAUCAGAUGUACCCAUAUGGGAUUAGCUAGUAGGUGGGGUAAUGGCUCACCUAGGCGACGAUCCCUAGCUGGUCUGAGAGGAUGACCAGCCACACUGGAACUGAGAAACGGCCCAGACUCCGAAGGGAGGCAGCAGUGGGGAAUAUUGCACAAUGGGCGCAAGCCUGAUGCAGCCAUGCCGCGUGUAUGAAGAAGGCCUUAGGGUUGUAAAGCACUUUCAGCGAGGAGGCGUUACCCGCAGAAGAAGCACCGGCUAACUCCGUGCCAGCAGCCGAGGUAAUAC
rnacentral:rRNA from 1 species